UACGAAGGGGGGCGAGCGUUAUUCGGAAUCACUGGGCGUAAAAGCGUGCGUAGGCGGUUUUGUAAGUUGGAAGUGAAAGCCCAGGGCUUAACCUUGGAAUUGCUUUCAAAACUACAAGACUCGGAUUCGGGAGAGGAUAGCGGAAUUGUCAGUGUAGCAGUGAAAUGCGUAGAUAUUGACAGGAACACCAGUGGCGCAAGCGGCUAUCUGGACCGACAUCGACGCUGAGGCACGAAAGCGUGGGGAUCAAACAGG
rnacentral:rRNA from 1 species